CAGCCUGCUCCUUUAAGCACUGGCUUUUCUGCAUUUGUCUCAGUUACAGCACAGUCACUGUGGAAAAUAUUUAUACAUGGGAAAUGUCUUACUAAUUAACCUUUUAAUUGAUACCUUCACUCUGGGACAAAUGACACCAGGAAGAUCUUUCCUACCUUGGGAGCCGCUGCUUACAAACAGAUUUAUAGCUAAAAAUAACCCAGCAGUCCUGGAGGGAUCUGGCUAAUUGACUUCUCUGCUUAUCCCCUGGUAGGUUAUGAAAUCUGCAAGGGUUUGAGGGAUCAGGGGAGGGAUUGCAGCAGCCUGCUGCUUUGGCAGUAAUCACCACAGUUUGCAACCAGAGCCUAAACAAGGGACAGCUGUGUGGAAUUCACAACAAACAGAAAAGACAUUCUGCAAGCUCAGGGGCCCUUACCCAGGCCACCUGGACAUUUGCCAAGGUUAGCACUGCUUGCCAGUUAGAGCUCCACUUUGGUUCCUCUGAUCUGUUAGACCCCUGUGGGUUGGAGCAUCCUGCUAAUCUGUCCCUCCCAUCCCCACCCUGGUGAGUUUAGGAGGGACAGAGCAAACACGGAUAAAGUGCCUCCCACAUACAACAGAUUGAUGCCAACCAGAGUGACCAGUCUUCAGCCAAGCCAGAAACAUCUCUUAAACCUUCUGCAUUAAAGCUAUCAGGAGAAGCCAUCUCUGCAGAUACCAGAUCCUACACACACUCCCACUAGUAGUGGGUUAUAAAACACUGGGCGUGGGCAGCUAAAAUGCACAUCAGAGCGCACUCCAGGAGAGUGCAGCUCUCACCUAGCGACAAAGGGGCAUUGCCUUCUGACACCGGCUAACUGCCUUUCCACACUCCAGGGUACUAACGCUAUACUGAAAACUGACAGGAUUUUGGAGUUUAUUCUUCCCCUGCUCUUUACAAGAGAAGACACAGAAGAUGCUAAAUUGCCACACUCAGUCCAGUUCUCUUAAAUUAUUGUCAUCUUUAUUACCUCCACUUGUGUGCAAACGGAAACGGUGGUGUCCUUAAAAAUAACAAAUGUAUUUUAUAUACAUUUUUUCCAUAUGUACAAGUGAACAUCCACACUUACAUUUUUCUUUUGCAUAGCAAAAGAUAUAGAAUAUUGACAUAGGAGAACACGGGAUCAGGUACAAAAAAAAAGGCUAAAAAAAUUUCACAACAGUGCAAAAAUAUCUUACACGACAGCAUGGAAUGGAACAAUUUUUUUUUCAAAUAUAGAAAAAUGAAGAAAACGCCCUCUCAGAUAUUAAAUUUUUCAUUGUAAACAAAAUGCAACAUCUCUCCCUCAAGACAGCUGUUUGGAGAAUUUGGCAGAUCUUCAGGGGUCUCUGGUCAACAACCCAAAGCUCAUGCACCAAGCCAGCCAAACUGUUCCUGUCCUACUUGAAAAUGAACAAAUAUUUUUUAACAAGAGGUGGAAACUGCCAAUGAAAUUGAGACAUGACCCCUGGGGAACUGGAACAGGGGGCCCAGCGAGCUGGCACCUGUCCAGUCAGUGACAGACCCAGGGAAUCUCACCUUGUGAGCACACAGGAUUGUGUAAAGCAUUGCACGUAUCUCCCUUGACUUUCCGUCCUGUGCACAGGCUGUCCUUUGCCUCUGGCUUCCUGCCUCCCAGGGGCCCCCGCAGGUUCCGGACCCUGCCGCCCAGAG